UCACUAUCGUGUAGUAGCAGUAGUGCGACCGAGCCUUCCAUCACGGUUAAAACCAAACGUCGAUCGUGGUGGAAGAAGACGAAAAAAUGUUUACGACGAGUUUUUUGCUGCGGCGUAUAAAAUAUGGUAUAGUUUAUCAUAUAGAUGAAAACAAAUGCGAGUAUACCUUUAUAAAUACUGGCGAGCAUAUUUUUUUUGUAACUCACGAGUGUUAUAGACACGAUGGAUGAACAGAAUAACAUUUACAUUUACGUAUAACAGAAGUUAACGGAUAAGAUUGAAUUUGCAAAAGAUUGUAUCGUUUGUAUGGUCCGUGAAACUUUUAAAUUAACUCAAAAACAAACUGGUUGUAGCUUCA